GGUUAAAACAGAGUUCGUCUACAAGUAUUGUAUUGCUGAUUUGUUGCACUUUAUUUCGGGGUCAGCCUUCAAGUGUCUCCAGUUGGUCCAAAACGCUGCUGCUUGCCUCCUAGCUGGAGCUUGUAUACGGAAGCACAUAACUCCACUUCUGGCCUACCUUGACUGGCUCCCUGUAUGUACACUUUACAGUAGAUUAUUUUUUUGGUCUUGAAAUCGUUAAUUCACAGGUGUCAAACGCAAGGCCCGGGGGCCAGAUAUGGCCCACCACAUCAUUUAAUCUGGCCCGAGAAAGCAAAUCAAACAUGUCAACUUCUAUGAUGAUUGCUAAAAUCUGUACCAAAAUUUCUAAUUCUCAUAUGUAAUAAAUAAGCGAGAUAUUGUAAGAUGUUCUUGUUACCAAAACCCUCAUUACAGUAGUUGACUUCUUUGUAUGGUUUCACAGUCAUUAUGGCCCUCCAAGGGAAACUGUCACUAAAUGUGGCCUGCGACAAAAAUGAAUUUGACACCCCUCCUUGAAUUGGUCUCACCCCACCUUCCCUCUCUGAGCCUGUCUACCUCUACACACCUCCCCAGUGCCUCAGUCGCUAACCUGAUGAGCCCACCACACCAUAAGAUAAGAGAAGAUGGCGAUCCACAAAAUGGAGCCCAGGAAGUAUUCGACUGCGGUGACCUGUUUGCGGACAUCAGGGAUGGUGAGCCACAAAGGAAAGACGAUGGGCAGCAAGAAGAGGUAAGUGACUUGUUUCCGCCGCGUGUCGGGCCAUUCUAAAGACAGAGGCUCCUCCUCGUUCUCCUCAUCUUCGCCGGAGUCAUUGUCGCUGUCAUCUUCAUCACUGUCAUCUUCAUCACUGUCCUCCUCGCCGCUGCUUGACUCGUCUGACCCGUCUCCCCCUGAGGGCUGGUCUUCCUGCAUGUUCACCUUACAUAGAAAGGUAUCAAAGAUUGACUUCUGGGCUUUUUGACAUGCUUGAUGGUGAGUGUACCUUGUCAUCGUCAGGUGGCUCCUUCUUCUCAGUUUCGCCUGUCGUAGCGGCUUGGUCCUCUUCGGCCUGCUCCUUCCCACUGUCUCCAUCUAACAAGUACCUCAUACGUUUCUACUGCUCAGCUCUUUGUGAGAGGCAGUGUGAUACAUUGAAAAGAGUAUGAUUCACGUCCUAUUAAUCUUGCAUUAUUCCACCGUGUAGUCCGCAAGGCACCAAUUAUAUCUCCUUAUUUAUUUGAAAGGGACGGCACAAUUUAACCCUUUCACGCACCCUCUAACCUGAUAACAUCAGCUGUCCACUGUCGUAACCGCUGUCCCUGAAAGGGUUAAAAUCAUGACCAUGAUACCCAACAGGUGAGCUUCAAACUGACAUAUCAAUGUUGAAUUUAACGAAGGUUUGGGAGGUGCUCGUCCUCUUGCUGACUUACAUUGAAAGUGCCCUUGAGCAAAGCUGCGUGUACAAUAGAAUGUGUAUUUGCGAGUUACCUUCACUCUUUGCUGCAACGUCACCUUCAGCCUUCCGUCUCACCACAUUAUUCAGAUUCUCAGCCUUGUCCUUGAAUUUGCCUGCAAGCGUUCACACCAGCACAAAGAAACAGCCGACAGCGUUCAUCGGUGUAUCGACAUUGUCGAACAGUCAAUUGCAGAGUGAUGGAGGAACAGUAGGCCGUUCAACACAACUCAACAACUUUCAAAAUAAAGGAGGGCAUAGACAAGACCAGGGGUGGGUAAAAACUAAGACCCACGGGCCUUUUUAAUCCGGCCCGCCAAAGAUUGGUGCACAAUUAAGGUUUGAUUGCAUUCAUUUCCUUUGGACUUGUAAUGACAGGUAUUUCAACACCAGGUGGCGCAGUUACUUCAAGUUGCAGAGCACAGGGAGGGAGGGGAAGACGAAGAAGGAGGGAGAGAGUAAUGACCAUAGAAGGGAAAGUGAUAUGUAUCUGAUUAAACGAAGCGGGUAACAAAGUACGAAACAUUCAGGAGACGCCUGGAGUCGGAAAGACUCAAAUCUACGAGACUUUGAAAAACAAGGAAGCGAUUCUUACUCAGUCCGAUUCUGGCAAUUUCCACGCUCAGAGUGAAUUGCUUGUGGCUCGAGUAAAUGAACAUUUCCUAGAAUGGUUU